rfam:Firmicutes bacterium CAG:56 genomic scaffold, scf10
CCUAUGGAGAGUACAAGAACUUGUGAGUAGUAUCUGUUUCGACAGUACAAAAGCAUACUCAUUGAAGUAGGAA